GACGAACGCUGGCGGCGUGCCUAAUACAUGCAAGUAGAACGCUGAAGGAGGAGCUUGCUUCUCUGGAUGAUUUGCGAACGGGUGAGUAACGCGUAUGGAACCUCCCUCGUAGCGGCGGAUAACUAUUGGAAACGAUAGCUAAUACCGCAUAAGAUUAGAUGUUGCAUGACAUUUGCUUAAAAGGUGCAAUUUCAUCACUACCAGAUGGACCUGCGUUGUAUUAGCUAGUUGGUGGUGUAACGGCUUAACAAGGCGACGAUACAUAGCCGACCCGCUAGGGUGAACGGCCAACAUGGGAAUGGGACACGGCCCAGAAUCCUACGGGAGGCAGCAGUAGGGGAUCUUCGGCAAUGGACGGAAGUCUGACCGAGCAACGCCGCGUGAGGGAAGAAGGUUUUCGGAUCGUAAAGCUCUGUUGUAAGAGAAGAAAGAGUGUGAGAGUGGAAAGUGCACACUGUGACGGUAUCUUACCAGAAAGGGACGGCUAACUACGUG
rnacentral:rRNA from 1 species